rnacentral:tRNA from 1 species
UCCCUGAUAACUCAGUUGGUAGAGUAGCGGACUGUUAAUCCGUUUGUCGCUGGUUCGAGCCCAGCUCAGGGAGCCA